GUUCCCAUGCCGAACACGAAGGUUAAGCUUCAAAGCGCUGAUGGUACUGCAGGGGAAGCCCUGUGGAAGAGUAAGUCGUUGCCAGAU
rnacentral:rRNA from 1 species